rnacentral:rRNA from 1 species
UACGGGGGGAGCAAGCGUUGUUCGGAUUUACUGGGCGUAAAGGGCGCGUAGGCGGCCAGCACAAGUCAGUUGUGAAAUCUCCGAGCUUAACUCGGAAAGGUCAACUGAUACUGUGCGGCUAGAGUGCGGAAGGGGCAACUGGAAUUCUUGGUGUAGCGGUGAAAUGCGCAGAUAUCAGGAGGAACACCGGUGGCGAAGGCGGGUCUCUGGGCCGUAACUGACGCUGAGGAGCGAAAGCGUGGGGAGCGAACAGG